AGGACGAACGCUGGCGGCGUGCUUAACACAUGCAAGUCGAGCGGAAAGGCCCUUCGGGGUACUCGAGCGGCGAACGGGUGAGUAACACGUGAGCAACCUGCCCUUAGCUCUGGGAUAGCUCCGGGAAACCGGAAUUAAUACCGGAUAUUACACCGGCUGGCAUCGGCUGGUGUGGAAAGAUUUAUCGGCUAAGGAUGGACUCGCGGCCUAUCAGCUUGUUGGUGGGGUAGAAGCCUACCAAAGGCGACGACGGGGU
rnacentral:rRNA from 1 species